GCCGGGCGUGGUGGCGUGUGCCCGUAGUCCCAGCUACUUGGGAGGCUGAGGUAGGAGAAUUGCUUGAAUCCGGGAGGCGGAGGUUGCUGUGAGCCGAGAUUGUGCCACUGCACUCCACCCUGGGUGACAGAGCAAGAUUCCAUCUCAA
rnacentral:SRP_RNA from 1 species